GCCUUUAUGACCAGGGCUACACACGUACUACAAUGGCCGGUACAAAGGGCAGCCACUUAGCGAUAAGGAGCCAAUCCCGUAAAGCCGGUCUCAGUCCGGAUUGGAGUCUGCAACUCGACUCCAUGAAGUUGGAAUCGCUAGUAAUCGCAGAUCAGCACGCUGCGGUGAAUACGUUCCCGGGCCUU
rnacentral:rRNA from 1 species